AAAGAAAAGGCAGGCGGUAGAGAGCGAGCACAAACAAACACACGAGCAGGCGCCGCGCGGUGCUCACUCACCCCCACACUAAUAGCGCAGAUCUCUCGCCCGGCCCUCUCGAUCCACCUGAGUUUCCCGCCGGCCGCACCGAUCUGACGGUGGCGGCGGCAGAGGAGGCCGCUAGGGCUAGAGUUUUGGCGUGAUGCAGCGGUCUGGGCGGGGCCUGCAGCGGUCGGGCUCGAAGCGUGUGCUCGACCCCACCAACGGCACUGGCGGCGGCGGCGACGACGACCAUGCGGCCAAACGGCCCCGCGUGCCCGCCCUUGCAAGUGUCAUUGUGGAAGCACUAAAAGUCGACAGUCUGCAGAAGCUUUGUUCAUCGCUGGAGCCUAUUCUUCGAAGAGUUGUAAGCGAAGAGGUAGAGCGUGCUUUGGCCAAGUUGGGUCCUGCUAGAAUUGAAGGAAGGUCCUCUCCCAAAAGAAUAGAAGGCCCUGAUGGGACAAAUCUUCAGCUUCAAUUUAGAAGCAGGUUGUCUCUCCCACUCUUUACUGGUGGAAAAGUAGAAGGCGAGCAGGGGGCAGCUAUACAUGUUGUGCUGCUGGAUACCAACACUGGUUGUGUUGUCACUUCGGGACCUGAAUCAUGUGCAAAGCUGGAUGUUCUUGUGCUUGAGGGUGACUUCAAUAAAGAGGAAGAUGAGGGUUGGACAGAAGAGGAGUUUGAAGGCCAUAUUGUCAAGGAGCGCGAAGGGAAAAGACCUCUCUUGACUGGUGACCUUCAGGUGACUCUUAAAGAAGGUGUUGGAACCAUAGGGGAGCUUAUCUUCACUGACAACUCCAGCUGGAUAAGAAGCAGGAAAUUCAGACUUGGGCUCAGGGUUGCCUCUGGUUUUUCUGAAGGUAUUCGUGUUAGGGAGGCGAAGACAGAAGCUUUUACUGUUAAAGAUCAUAGAGGGGAAUUGUACAAAAAACACUACCCUCCUGCUUUGAAGGAUGAUGUUUGGAGAUUAGAAAAGGUUGGCAAGGAUGGUGCAUUCCACAAGAAGUUAAAUGGAAGCGGAAUCUAUACAGUUGAAGAUUUUCUUCGGCUUCUUGUUAGGGAUCAACAGAGGUUGCGUAGUAUUCUUGGCAGUGGCAUGUCAAAUAAGAUGUGGGAAAGCCUUGUUGAGCAUGCAAAGACUUGUGUUUUAGGUGGAAAGCAUUAUAUAUAUUAUGUGAAUGAUUCAAGAAAUGUCGGUGCAAUAUUCAAUAACAUAUAUGAGUUCACUGGCUUGAUUGCUGAUGAUCAGUUCAUUUCAGCUGAAAAUCUCACGGACAACCAGAAGGUCUAUGCUGACACGUUGGUAAAGAAAGCAUAUGAGGAUUGGAUGCAUGCUGUAGAAUAUGAUGGUAAGGCACUUCUUGGCUUCAAGCAGAAAAAGAAAUCUGUCACGACCAGAAGUGAUACCGCAUCAGCUUCAACAAGUAACCCUGCUUUGUAUGGUUUUGUCAAAGCACAAAAACAGUUACUGCCAGGAAAAGCUGGCCAAACAUCAACAGGCACUCCAAGUGAAGCAGCUGGAGUAAGAAGCACAUAUAAUGGAAAUCUGGCAGCAAGAAACACUAGUCCUCAGAAUAACGCUGCAAACAUUACCAUGCAAUAUGAGAGGAGUGCACUGUCACCUGAAAGCCAGUUCAGUGGGCCCUCCCUUCAGACUCAAACUUCUGGAGGCUCCAAUAUUUUGGCAUUGGAACCUGCACAGCAGCAGCAACAGGGUUUUGAAUUCUCAGCAGUUGGUCAGUCCAUGCAACCUGCAGACCUGAACCCUUUCGAUCAAUGGUCACAGCCGCAAGAGAACCGUGCGGUUGAUGACUACUUGAUGGAGGAGAUCAGGUUGAGGAGCCAUGAGAUACUCGAGAAUGACGAAAUGCAACAGAUGCUGCGAAUUUUGAACAUGGGUGGAGCAUCUACCAACAUGAAUGAUGAUGGCUUCACUUUUCCGCCCUACAUGCAGUCACCUUCCCCGAACUUGAACUUUGAGGAUGACCGCACUCGUCCACCUGGGAAAGCCGUUGUGGGUUGGCUUAAAAUCAAGGCAGCUAUGAGGUGGGGCAUCUUCGUCAGGAAGAAAGCGGCCGAGCGAAGAGCUCAGCUCGUUGAGCUAGAUGAUGACUAGCAACAUGUCUUAAGUUCUUAAAUGCUGUCCGUGUAAUUGUUUAAGGAUCCGUAACGCAUGGGCUCAGCAAUGCACCAUGGAAAGACAUUCAGAUAUCAGGAAAGGCGUUAAAGUAUUCCUAUUGUUUUCACGUAAAAUAGAAUUGUAUCUCCUUUGGUUAAGAAAAACAAGAUAGCCAUCUUUUUACAAUGCACUGUGUUAUAGAUAGCCACAUGUAAAUGUUGCGUUGGAUCUUGUCAUCUACACAUGUUUUCUUAUGUUUUUCCUUUUGAAUUGCAUGUUUCAUUAUGUAAGACACGGUGACAGCCAAAUUUACCAUAGACUAAUUGACUGCCCAUGUGUUGCCCCGGGCCAACAAAUGAAUGAAUGCUCAUUUUACUCUUCA